UUCAACAAUUUUGAAUCGGUCGGUCAUUUGAAGUUCUUUUUAUUUUCGCGUUAAAUCACAAACAAUGACUAAGUGAAUUUUUUACGCCAUAUUUCUUGACAAUUGAAACUUGAAAUUGUGUGAAACAAACCGAAAAGAAUUUUGUUUACUGAAGAUAAAAAAUCGAUGUUUAUUUAUUUGGGGGAUUUUUUUUGUUGAAGAUUAGAAAAAAAAAAUUAUUUGCAAACACAAACGGUUUUAGUGAAAUGAAAAUUUUCCGCAAAUAAUUCGUGUCGUAGCAUCAAAUAAAUCGUCUACAAUAAACUUUUGAUAGAAAUCAAAAUGUUUAAUUGACAAUAAAUUUCUAAGGACAUUCGUACGUAUGCAAAUUAACUGGAAGAAUACAACAUUCCGCCGGAAGGUGAAUGAAAUAUUUAUUUUAUUAUGCAAGAAAUGAGCAUGUCGAAUCUUCAAGUUUCAUCAGAAAAUCAACGCCUCAAUUUACAUUUCAGUUCAGAAGUUUGAAAAACGAGAAGUAAGAGACGAAUUUUUCAGUGGAAAAUCACAUCUUUUUUUCCUUAUUUGACUGACUGAAAGUUUUGCAAUACAAAAAGGUAUAGUACAAGUUGACUGGGUAUCAAAUUUCAAAAUCAAAUAAAAGUUUUGACAUUUUCGCCUGAAAAUGAAAGGAAGAAUGAGAGUGUCUAUUUUUAGGUAAUUUGCAUUUUAUGUCAAAGAUUGAGCGUAAAAAAUAUGCUGUAUCCAUCCGAACGAAGGGUGACUAAUCUAUGGAUUUAUUAAUAAAUAUAAAUAAU